UGUCAUCUCUUCAGUUAGACUGGUGGUA
rnacentral:piRNA from 1 species